UCGGGGGCCGCGCGGGGCCGCCCGGUGGGUGCCCGGCGCGAUGUUCCGCAAGGCGCGGAGGGUGAACGUGCGGAAGCGGAACGACUCGGAGGAUGAGGACGAGGAGCGCGACGAGGAGCCGCCUCAGGAGCCGGCGGCGGCGGCGGCGGCGGCGGCCGGGGCGGGGGGGGAAGGGCCCAGCGAGGCCUCCAUGUCGCUGGCGGCGGGCGCCGGGCUCCUGCCGCUGCCCGCGGGCUGCGUGCCCCUCGCCCUGCCCGGCAGCCCCGCGGCCUUCGCCUGCGCUGCGAGCUACGGCGCGGCGCUCGGGCUGGGGCUGGGCUUGAUGGGAGGCGACCGGGCAAGCCUGGGGGCUCUGCCGGCGCCCGCCUUCCCGGCCCCCCCGCCGCCGCAGCCUCCGCCGCAGCCCCAGCAGGGCAACGGGCUGCCGGCGGCCGGCCGGCCCAAGGAGAAGAAGCGGCCGCGAGAGAACAAAGAGGUGCCGCGGGCCAGCCUGCUCAGCUUCCAGGACGAGGAAGAGGAAACUGAAGAAGUUUUUAAAGUGAAGAAAUCAAGUUACAGCAAAAAGAUUGUAAAACAAUUGAAGAAAGAAUACAAAGAAGAUCUUGAAAAAUCAAAAGUUAGAACAGAGGUCAAUUCUCCAACAGAUGUCGAAGCACCACUAGAAAAGACAGGACAGAAUAAGGAUAUAGGCCAAGAAGAUGGGACUGCAAACAGUGAGCAUGGUGAAGAAGAAAUGGAAGUUGAAAGUGAGAAGGAAGAUGAAAAACCAAAAGCUGCUGGGGCGUUUUCAAAUGCUCUGUCCUCACUGAAUGUUCUCCGCCCAGGAGAAAUUCCAGAUGCUGCUUUUAUUCAUGCCGCUAGGAAAAAGCGUCAAAUGGCUCGUGAGCUCGGAGACUUUACCCCCGUUGAGAGCGAACCAGGGAAAGGCCGCCUCGUUCGAGAAGAUGAAAAUGAUGCCAGUGAUGAUGAAGAUGAUGAUGAGAAGAGGAGGAUAGUUUUUACAGUGAAGGAAAAAUCCCAAAGGCAAAAGAUUGCUGAGGAAAUAGGUAUUGAGGGAAGUGAUGAUGAAGCCCUGGUGGCAGGGGAGCAAGAUGAAGAACUCAGUAGAUGGGAGCAAGAGCAGAUACGAAAAGGAAUCAACAUACCCCAGGUUCAACCAAGUCAGCCUGCUGAAGUGAAUAAUCUGUACUACCAGAACACUUACCAGACACUGUCUUAUGGUUCAUCGUAUGGUAUUCCAUACACCUACACUGCAUAUGGAUCAUCGGAAACCAAGUCUCAAAAAACAGAUAAUACAGUUCCUUUCAAAACUCCCAGUAAUGAGAUGACUCCUGUUACUAUUGAUUUGGUAAAGAAACAGCUUAAAGACAGGUUGGACUCUAUGAAAGAAAUGCACAAGGCCAAUCGGCAGCAAUAUGAGAAACAUCAGCAAAGCCGAGAGGACUCUACCAAGGCAAUUGAAAGAUUAGAAGGGUCUUCUGGGGGUAUUGGUGAACAGUAUAAGUUUUUGCAAGAAAUGCGAGGGUAUGUCCAAGACUUGCUUGAGUGUUUCAGUGAAAAGGUGCCUCUGAUUAACGAGCUUGAGUCCGCAAUGCACCAGCUGUACAAACAGCGAGCUUCCCGCCUUGUCCAAAGACGACAAGAUGAUAUUAAAGAUGAAUCUUCGGAGUUUUCAAGCCAUUCAAGUCAGUCCAUCUUGAAGAUAAAGCACUGAUGGCACCAAAUCUUGAUUCUUUUGGGCGAGACAGAGUGAUCUAUCAAGAACAAGUCAAGCGCCGAACUGCAGAAAGAGAGGCUAGAAGAGCUCGCCGUAGACAAGCCAGAGAGCAAACUGGGAAGAUGGCAGAUCACCUUGAAGGCCUUUCCAGCGAUGACGAGGAAACUUCAACAGAUAUCACAAACUUCAACUUGGAGC